rnacentral:rRNA from 1 species
GACGAACGCUGGCGGCGUGCUUAACACAUGCAAGUCGAACGUGAUUUUUGUGGAAAUUCUUUCGGGAAUGGAAAUGAAAUGAAAGUGGCGAACGGGUGAGUAACACGUGAGCAACCUACCUUACACAGGGGGAUAGCCGUUGGAAACGACGAUUAAUACCGCAUGAGACCACAGAAUCGCAUGAUAUAGGGGUCAAAGAUUUAUCGGUGUAAGAAGGGCUCGCGUCUGAUUAGCUAGUUGGAAGGGUAAAGGCCUACCAAGGCGACGAUCAGUAGCCGGUCUGAGAGGAUGAACGGCCACAUUGGAACUGAGACACGGUCCAAACUCCUACGGGAGGCAGCAGUGGGGAAUAUUGCACAAUGGGGGGAACCCUGAUGCAGCGACGCCGCGUGAGUGAAGAAGGUUUUCGAAUCGUAAAGCUCUGUCCUAUGAGAAGAUAAUGACGGUAUCAUAGGAGGAAGCCCCGGCUAAAUACGUG